CCAGUCGGCCGGGCGGCCGCGCUUGCAAACGCCGAAAGGCUGCAAGCGAGGAAAGUCCGGGCUCCAUGGAAACACGGUGCCGGUAAAUGACCGGCGGGGGCGACCCCAGGGAAAGCGCCACAGAAAGCAAACCGCCCCGCCUGCAAAUCGGCCGCCGGCAUGCCGGCCGCUUUGCCGGCGGGGCAAGGGUGAAAGGGUGGGGUAAGAGCCCACCGCGCUUCUGGCAACAGAAGUGGCACGGCAAGCCCCACCGGGAGCAAGACCGAAUAGGGAUGGCGUGGAAGGCAACUUCCGGGCGGUUUCCGGCCCAGUCAUCCGGGUUGGUUGCUUGAGGCGGACAGCAAUGUCCGUCCCAGAGGAAUGGCCGCCACGUUCCGGCGCCUCAGGGUGCCGGGGCCAUACAGAACCCGGCUUACAGGCCGACUGGUAUU
rnacentral:RNase_P_RNA from 1 species